rnacentral:rRNA from 1 species
UUCGCAAUGCCCGAAAGGGUGAACGAGCGACGCCGCGUGGAGGAUGAAGUCCUUCGGGAUGUAAACUCCUGUCAGGGGAAAGAAAGAACUGAUCUACCCCAGAGGAAGGCACGGCUAACUCUGUGCCAGCAGCCGCGGUAAGACAGAGGUGCCGAGCGUUAGGCGGAAUCACUGGGCUUAAAGCGUGUGUAGGCGGAAACCUAAGUGCUUUGUGAAAUCCCCCGGCUUAACCGGGGAAUGGCUGGGCAGACUGGGUUUCUUGAGCGGCCUAGGGGCAACUGGAACAAGCGGUGGAGCGGUGAAAUGCGUAGAUAUCGCUUGGAACGCCAACGGUGAAAACAGGUUGCUGGGGGCUCGCUGACGCUGAGACACGAAAGCCAGGGGAGCAAACGGGGUUAGAUACCCCGGUAGUCCUAGCCCUAAACGAUGGGCACUAAGUAGAGGGGUUUU